rnacentral:rRNA from 1 species
UACGAAGGGGGCUAGCGUUGUUCGGAAUUACUGGGCGUAAAGCGCGCGCAGGCGGUCUUCCAAGUCAGUGGUGAAAGCCCGGAGCUCAACUCCGGAACUGCCAUUGAAACUGUGAGACUUGAGGAUGAGAGAGGUGAGUGGAAUUCCCAGUGUAGAGGUGAAAUUCGUAGAUAUUGGGAAGAACACCGGUGGCGAAGGCGGCUCACUGGCUCAUUUCUGACGCUCAGGCGCGACAGCGUGGGAUCAAACAGG